AUUGAACGCUGGCGGCAUGCCUUACACAUGCAAGUCGAACGGUAACAGGUUAAGCUGACGAGUGGCGAACGGGUGAGUAAUAUAUCGGAACGUGCCCAGUCGUGGGGGAUAACGUAGCGAAAGCUACGCUAAUACCGCAUACGUUCUACGGAUGAAAGCGGGGGAUCGCAAGACCGCGCGCGAUUGGAGCGGCCGAUAUCCGAUUAGGUUGUUGGUGAGGUAAAAGCUCACCAAGCCUGCGAUCUGUAGCUGGUCUGAGAGGACGACCAGCCACACUGGAACUGAGACACGGUCCAGACUCCUACGGGAGGCAGCAGUGGGGAAUUUUGGACAAUGGACGCAAGUCUGAUCCAGCAAUGCCGCGUGCAGGACGAAGGCCUUCGGGUUGUAAACUGCUUUUGUACGGAACGAAACGGUGAGCUCUAAUACAGUUUGCUAAUGACGGUACCGUAAGAAUAAGCACCGGCUAACUACGUGCCAGCAGCCGCCGUAA
rnacentral:rRNA from 1 species